CAACUGGGCAGAGGGAUCCUCCUCAGAUCAUCCCUGCUGUUUCUUUCAGCUCUCUCCUGAUGAGUUGAAGUACUUGGUGGAACUGGAAGCUCACAGACUAACAAGAAGCUGCAGAAGAAAACCCAGACAAACCAGAAGAUGCAUUCAGCAUGAGAAACGAAAGGACCGUGCUGGGAUAAGACCUUCAGAAAUCACUACCCACACCUAUUUAAUGCAAAAAAGAGCAGAGCUGGAGGAGACCACCAAGCUUGAGGCUGAGGUUUUUGCCACCUUCCCGGCGCUGCGGUGGCGAAGGGCCGGUGCUGCAGGCGGCGGUGCCGUACGCCAUCAGCGCUCCCUAAAAGCAAACGGAACUGGCAUAAAUAAUUGUGCUGUAGAAAGCCUUUCUGUUGCACCUUGCCUAUCACUGACAAUUUACAUAUCUUAGGAAAACCUUUGUCAGCUUCUGUCAUUUCUGCACUAUUAUGUGCCUUUCUGGAUAAUUACCAGUUAAUGUGAAAAAGCAGAUGGAAAAAAAACCUUGAAAUUUCCGAUAGAGAAUCCUCAAACCUCUCCCCUUAUCUGCGCGCAGCAGCUCCCUGAUUUCAAAAGAAGUUUGAAAACCUUUGUUAAAAAUGUCCCUGAUUCCCAGUUUGAAUGAACCAAAUGACAUUCAGCUAAAAUUAUUCAGCUUUUUUCCACAAUUAAAUUCCAUUAUCGUGAGCUGCCAAAGUAAAAUGGAAGGUCUCUUAACUAA